rnacentral:rRNA from 1 species
AACGAACGCUGGCGGCAGGCCUAACACAUGCAAGUCGAACGGGCAUAGCAAUAUGUCAGUGGCAGACGGGUGAGGAACACGUGGGAACAUGCCCUUUGGUUCGGAAUAACUCAGGGAAACUUGAGCUAAUACCGGAUAAGCCCUUAUGGGGAAAGAUUUAUCGCCGAAGGAGUGGCCCGCGUCCGAUUAGCUAGUUGGUGAGGUAACGGCUCACCAAGGCGACGAUCGGUAGCUGGUCUGAGAGGAUGAUCAGCCACAUUGGGACUGAGACACGGCCCAAACUCCUACGGGAGGCAGCAGUGGGGAAUAUUGGACAAUGGGCGCAAGCCUGAUCCAGCCAUGCCGCGUGAGUGAUGACGGCCCUAGGGUUGUAAAGCUCUUUCACCCACGACGAUAAUGACGGUAGUGGGAGAAGAAGCCCCGGCUAACUUCGUGCCAGCCGCCGCCGUAACAC